UAGUAAUAAAGGACAGUGAAAGAAAUGAAGUUUUAGCCCCCGUCCUUUCCAACAAACCAAUCAUUCCCGUAAAGGAUUUUAUCU
rnacentral:tRNA from 1 species